GUGUUGGGGCCCAGUGAUAGAGCACUUGCGUAGCAUGCUUGAGGCACUGGGUUCAAUCCCCAGCACCACA
rnacentral:tRNA from 1 species